rnacentral:rRNA from 1 species
CAGCCGCCGCGGUAAUACGGAGGGGGCUAGCGUUGUUCGGAAUUACUGGGCGUAAAGCGUACGUAGACGGCUUUGUAAGUUAGAGGUGAAAGCCUGGAGCUCAACUCCAGAAUUGCCUUUAAGACUGCAUCGCUUGAACGUCGGAGAGGUGAGUGGAAUUCCGAGUGUAGAGGUGAAAUUCGUAGAUAUUCGGAAGAGCGCCAGUGGCGAAGGCGGCUCACUGGACGACUGUUGACGCUGAGGUACGAAAGCGUGGGGAGCAAACAGGAUUAGAUACCCCAGUAGUCCCUGUCUCUUAUAC